UGUGCCUCCUUUCUACUCACUGUCAGUGCUUCAAGUCAUCUUCGUUCCAAGUAUUCCCAUUUCCUAGCAUUGGAAUACAAUCGGGACAUCGGAGCAUAUUGCAGCUGCCUUGCAUUUACUCCUGUACCAUACUACCACCCAUCACAGCAGGACCACUCGAGAGGGACCUCGCAAGAAUCUGGUGAUGAAGAAGAAUUGGCGGCUCAAGAAUUCUGUAAUGCAUGUCAGCAACUGCAAUGUAGUCCACAUGCAGGGAGACAUCGCAGACGCAAAAAAAAGUGCAAUCGUAAGUCGCGACGAGGUCUAAAGUGUAGACAAUGUCAUACACAUAAUGAAACGUACGAAUGGAGAAGGACACGGAAGAUCAAUAAGCAUUUUAAGCGGCUGGUUGCGAUAAUCGAAGACUACGACGAGAAGAGGCAGAAGGUUGUCUAUGGACAUGAUGUAACAGAAACUAAGGCCUGUUUUGCUGGCACGCAGCAAUAAAGGGGCAUCCAACGCA